rnacentral:rRNA from 1 species
UACAGAGGUCCCGAGCGUUGUUCGGAUUUAUUGGGCGUAAAGGGUGCGUAGGUGGCAAAGUAAGUUGGAUGUGAAAUCCUGGGGCUCAACCUCAGAAUUGCAUUCAAUACUGCUUAGCUAGAGAGCUGUAGAGGAGACUGGAAUUUACGGUGUAGCAGUGAAAUGCGUAGAUAUCGAGAGGAACACCGGUGGCGAAGGCGGCCUUCUGGACAGUGACUGACGCUGAGACGCGAAAGCGUGGGGAGCAAACAGG